GUCAACACCGAAAAUCUAAGACUGUAUCUUUAUGUUCUGAAGGAUGGGAUGGGCGAGGGUGGGGCGAGGUGAAGCCAGGAAGAAAGAGACAGACACGUACAUUUUUGAGAAACUGUUUUUUUUAAGAAAGCACUCCUCCAUUAGCUCCCUAUACUUCUGCACUAUGACACUUCUUUUAAAGGGUAACACACAUUCUUGUUUUAAUUUUCAAAGUGUUAAAUAUUUCACAUGCUAGGAAUGUAGAGAGUGAUAGAAUCCACGUAACCAUCAUUUCAAGUUAACAAUCUCUGGUGACAUUUGCAGCAUAUAGAUUUUUCAGAAACAAAGCAUGCCCGCCAGUGUGGGCCCCCAGCCUCUCUUCAAGCACACAGUGGGCCUGCAGCCUAGGGGAGAGGCCCCAUAGCGACGCUGCCACCCCCACCUGUAAACAGCAGGUAUAUUGCUGGUUUGUUUUUCUUUUUGUCAAUUGUGGCAGGAGCCGCAAGCUGUCGGUAUCCUUUUCUGAAAGUAUUAUUAUUUUCCCCAGCUCAACCUUAUACCCCCAGGACUGGCUCCAGCGAGUGCAAGCAGAGUCUGGGGUGGUUCCCGUCAUCCCUGGGGAACACUCUGUUCCAGGGGACGUGCCCUGGGCUGGGCUCUGCAGCCAGGCCUCCUCUGACUGCCAUUUAGGACGCUUCCAGCCCUGCACUUUGCAGACAAUGCUGCAAGGGCAGUGCCAGGGCUCAGUGCCCCCAGCCUGGCAUUUUCUCAGCGGCGGCGGACAAUGAGGCAGGGAUCUGGGGGUCAGCGGGGUGGGCAGCUCCUGCUUUUUCAGAUAUGGACAAAUGUCUCCCGGAUUCCUCUGUAGCAGUUUCAACGAGCACAGCAGGGAGAGCGCGCCCGGUCUCCGCACACCCUGGGCCUUGUUUGGGGUCACACCGUGGCAUCUGUCACACGGUAAGGUGUCCCCGUCAAGAACGAACGUGGGCCUCUGUCCUCUGUGAGGAGACUCCACCGGCCUCCUUGGCCCAUCUCUCCGGCGGCUGGCUUCACCUGCUGACCUUGGGCGCUGUUCCUGGUUCUGUAGGGCAGUCUUUGCCAUUUACGGUCACUGCAAACCUUUCUCCCCAGUAUUAACAACAACGACAACAAAAAAAGGCUUUCCUUACCCGCGGCUCUCCCACCCAGCUGCGUCAGUGUGCGCCUGACCACGCGCGGCGGAAUCGCGGUCUGGACGAGCCCUUUUGAUGAAGUCAGCAGGCGGCUAUGAAACGGGACCCGGGACAAACGCCCUCUAUAGCCUCUCUCGUCUAAUAAAAGUAAUGGGCGAAACACAGUUCCUUUCCUCCGCUGGUUUUCUUGCCAGCGAGGAUCCUACCCGCUCUGGCCGGAUCCGAGCGACGCUCCGGGUCUCUGCAGCCUCUGGGCGCGCUCACACCCGCGUGCACGUGCCGAGCUGCGCUCCGGAGUGGAAAACCGGGAAAGCAAAGCGAGUAAUGGAGAGGCUGAGGACGGUCUGGGCGUCGGGGGGCGGGGGGAGGGCGGGGAGGGAUGGGUAUGUAUGACCUAAGUUCUUCCAAAGGCUGUCUCGCAGAAACAUUGAAAAGAAAAGAAAAGGAAAAAAAAAAAAAAACCGGACACCUUUCAUCUGUUUCCACUUGCCUAGAGCCGCUCUCGCGGCGCGCUGACCUCCCCGGGCAGCGCGACUGUGCGCGCGCACGUGUGUGCAGGUCUGGGCGCCAGGCCGCGCGGCCGUGAACGCGGAGGGCAGAGCGCUCGCUCACACUGUCCUUCCAAACGAUCGCCGACCGCUGAACGAAGGCGCUCGGGUCUUGGCGGCUCCGGAAGAGGGUCUCGGGUCACUGGGAUCCUUCAUCCCGUCCGCGGCGCGCGCACCGCCGCCCGCGCACCGCCACCCUUCCGCUCACCCCCGCUCGGCGCUCCCAGCUGGGGACGCGGACACCGGCGGGGACCUGAGCCCGGGGACGCGCGCACGGCUCGCCCAAAGGGGCUGCGGGUCGGGGUUCGCGGGGGGAAGGGAAGAACCGGAGCGAUGGAAGCACGGGAUGCGGAGAAGAGGCGAAGGAUGCUGAUUCCUGGGCCGCGGCGCGGGAGAAACUUCAGGAAGCGGGUCGGAGGCGGGGCGUUCGCGGAGAGGAUGGGCCGUGUGCGGCCGCUGAACGAAACCAGGAGGGACACGUUAGCGGCCAGCACAGUUCUAGUCCUCCGACCUCAGGGGCUGGGCCGUGGUGCUAGAACCGGGUCUCAGGCUGAGCCCAGAACGUACAAAAGAGCGCGCCCCGGUCCAGGGACCCCUCCCGCGGCACUGCCCGCGGGGCCCGAGUCUUUCGGGCCGGUGGAAACCCAGGGGCCGCGUCCGCGCUCCAGGUUCCUUGACUGGAGCGGCGGGGACCCCCCGCGCUUCGCCUCCCGCGGUGUUUUGCAGACACACGUGGCCGCAUCAGAAGACCGUGUCAGAGCUUCGAAAGGCCAAAGUGUCCAGAGACCCGCGAGCGGGCUCGACCCCGCUUGGAAGGCAUUCACGGUUCAUUUGACUUAAACUCUGUACAGUUUACAGCGAAGUGUUCCUGUUUCCCAAAAAAGAAAACACAGACCCGGACUCGCGGCUCUUCUUGCCAGUUUCUGAUGCCACUCGCUCCACAGUCCCCCAGGAAGAGCGACAUCAGAGGGGACAGGUCCCCUAUACAUGGAAACCACUUCCACUUGACACAGAACUUCACGAAGAGGAACCACGUAAAAUGUGUCUUUUUAAAUCUUAAUUGACCCCCUCCCCUCGGCAUAUCUACACGCUCCAAGAUGGUACCUCUUUGCCCACCCAACUCUUAAAACUCCCAAGACAGGGCAAAAGGCGGGAAGAGAGAGAGAAGCCGGGCUCGGCUAGGCUUUAUUCAAGCGCUCCAGUGUUGCUGUCCGUUUGCCCCGAAUGCAAUCGACGUGGGGGAGGCCGGGCCGGGGCGCCCUCAGUGGCUGGGGACGGCGCCAGGCCCACCGCGGCGGGGACGAGGCGGCAUCCGCGGGCCACAGCGCCCCCUCGCCGCCCGUGCGCACGACUUCGGGCCGCAUUGCCGCUGGGCCUUCCCGC
ensembl:lncRNA